rnacentral:lncRNA from 13 species
AUGAUACAUUUAUUUGGCCUACAUAAUAAUGUCAUAAAAUUCGCAUAUUAUAGCCUAAUAGGCAUAGUGGCCGUUAUUAAGAAACAUCUUAGAAUUUAUGUAAACUUGGCACUAGGCAAUAUUAAGAUUUUAGAUUAUUAUUAUAUUGGCCCGUCAUUUCUCUUGCGCUCCUACUUCUUUUGGUGGUGUGGUGCGACUCCACGUGGCAACAAAUUGAGGAUUAUUGUAGUAACAAGAACGAAUAAACCCAAAGAGCACGCCCUACUCUCUGUGCGUAAUGACGCACUUGCGCAGGAGCAAUGUCACAGUCGCAACACCGAGACAGCGCCACCGAUUUAUUCUAAACUGAAUAAUAAUUGUUAUAAACCACAGAUACGGAUGUUCAUCCUUAUUCCAACAACGAUUUGCAUAACAUUUCCAAUCCCUUGUGAGGGUCGUGUAGUGGGGCCCGUGAGCGGCGGAUGAGGCUGGGGUCCAGCUUCAGCGGCGCCCUGCAGCCUCCCAAUGGUCUCCCCCACUAUGAAGGCACUGGUGGACGCUGUGUGGGCAGUGUGGAGCAUCGGUGCCUCCGUCUAUGACUACAUCCACACCAGCGCCAUGGAGGAACGCAUCCACACGCUGGAGACCGUCAUCACCAUUCACCAGUGUGUCAUCGCAGCGCUGACCACUGGAGUGGUGGUGCUCUUCACCUACAUACUGUUGAGGAAGCAUUGAGGGGGAGUGAGGAAGGAGAAGCCACGCAGGGCCCAGGAGGCUAGUUUUGAGGACAACACAGGAUUACCAGAGUGAUCAGAAGCAUUGAGAGUGUGGGUCUGGAAAGUCAUCCAGAGCCCUGGAGAGGCCUACCGGCCUACAUGGAUUAGAUUGAGGAGGACUUGAUUAACAAGGGAUUUUGGCUACUAGAAAAGUUUUUGGCUAUUUGGCCUUUAUCUCGGCUGCCAAUUGUACCAUUCUACUGCGGAGGUGUUGCUGGACACUGUGUCUCUGGGAGUCAAUGGUUUCACUCACUUUGCACCCAUGGAAGAUGAAGACAUGGACAGAGAUGGGCAAAAGAUGCAUGAAAAUGUAUCUUUUUACAAAUACAAGUUACUUUAAAGACCAAUGUAUCAAACUAAAAUACAAAAUACUUUUGCGAAGAAUUGUAUUUAGAAUGAUUCAUUCUUUAAUACAAAAUACAUUUGCAAGUACAUGCCUUCACUACAACAAUAUUCUUAGUAACAGAAACAAAAACACAUUUAACUUGCUAUGACUGUAAUAUGUGGUUGUUUAUCUACAUUGGUUGAAUGCACUGACUAAGUCACUGUGGAUAAAUGUCUGCUAAAUGACCUAAAUGUAAAAAUGUAAUAAUUGCAAAGCACACUUGGUAUUAUUAUUGGCCUUAUUUUGUGGGCGGAGCUCAUCAAUAAUACCCAGCAUGCUUUGCAGGUGUACAUUUGUACAUUUACAUGUUGUUCAUUCAGCAGACACUCAUAUCACACCAUAGUGCCGUGACUUCUGAUACCAAUGCAGGGUGAAAGGGGGCCUCCAAAUGUUGAACCGCUAUAAAAUAAAAAAGGAUAUAGAAAAUGUAUUUUGAAAAUAUAAAUGACAGGUCUCAAGUAUGUUACAAACUACAUUGGAUUGUAGUUCAGGCCAGUGAAAUACAAAAUGACAAAAUACUCAAAAGCAAAUGAAAUAUGAAUUUCAAUUACAUGUAACAGGAAUACUGCCCAUCUCUGGAUGUGGGGAUGCUAAAACCACAGCGACGACACAGCCUGCAGAUUGUAAUCUAAUAACGCACUAAAGGGAUGAUAACUAUCAUUAGGAAUGGAAUAACAUUAUCAGUUAGUUAGGUUUUUAUGUUGGCUCUAAUUGCUUAUCCCACCUGUAUGAUGCAUUGGAAAAUUGGAAACUCCCUCUUCAAAACCAUGAUUGUACUAGGUGCCAGCCCAACAGUCUAUACAGGUCUAUAAUUGGAAGUCUUGGUCAUGAAGAUGAAAGUGUUCACUUAGAGGUUAACUAUUAUAUCACCCAGUGAGGGAGAGUGAAUAUCAUGGGACGGGCUGAAUGUAUUCUCAAAAGGCCUUAUUUGUUGUAGAAAACUGGCCUCAAGGUUCUCCUGUGAAUUCCUCUGUAGGAGAAGGAGUUUCUGUGAAGCACUCAAAGGUCAAUACACUGGUCGCCAUGAAUGCCAUUUAGUACCGUACAUGUUCUUUGAUAAAACUCCUUUUAAAGCAUGUUUAUUUGAUUGCUAAAAUAAAUCAUUGUAGAUAGUCUUGUAAUGCAAGACUUUGUAGUGGCAUUUCGUGGCGUUAGUUGAACAUGGCUACAGCUGUGAAGGUUACGUCACUGGAAAGAGUAUUUAGAAGCAUCCUUACCUGUCAAAUGUGAAUCAACCUGAAUGUUUUGGUACAUUGUUUAUAAAUGUUUCAGUAAUGAUCACUCUUAACAUUUAAAAGGGUAUAAAACACAUUGUAGGACUUAAUAUAUUUAUGGCAGUUUAAGUGCAAUGUUAUGUUGUAUAAUUCAUUUAAAUUGUUCACUUGCUACAAUAUGACGAAUACACAAUGUUUGCCUACUCAUCUUGUUCAGAUUGCCAAAAUGGGCCUCAAUGGAAUGUUUCAGGUAUAUCAAAUGUGACUUACAGGUGACA